UACGUAGGGGGCAAGCGUUGUCCGGAUUUAUUGGGCGUAAAGAGCUCGUAGGCGGCUUACCAAGUCGGGUGUGAAACCUCCAGGCUCAACCUGGAGCUGCCACUCGAUACUGGUAUGGCUUGAGUCCGGUAGGGGACCACGGAAUUCCUGGUGUAGCGGUGAAAUGCGCAGAUAUCAGGAGGAACACCGGUGGCGAAGGCGGAUCUCUGGGCCUGUCCUGACGCUGAGGCGCGAAAGCUAGGGGAGCGAACAGG
rnacentral:rRNA from 1 species